GAGGUUAAUCUGACGUGUGCCGUUGGCGUGCUGCUUUUUUCGCUGCUUUUCCUUCCGAAGUGCCUCCUUCGACCGUUUUGUUCGAAUGAAGGUCACAACGCGAUCCAUGCCGCCGACCUGNNNNNNNNCUCCUCGUCCGUCAGUGGGCCCACGACGUUAUUCUUCUCUUGGGCCGUGUUGGUGCCGUUGCCAGCUCCCUCGCUGGCGUCACGCUCGUCGGGUUCUUCGUUUGCGCGAUCAGGCGGGCACAUG
rnacentral:misc_RNA from 1 species